CAAUAGCGUAUAUUAAAGUUGUUGCGGUUAAAAGCUCGUAGUUGGAUUUCUGUCUGAGGCGGCCGGUCCACUUUCUGAGUGAGCAUCUGGUCCGCUUUGGGCAUCCUCCUGGGGAACGUUUCCGCGCUUGAUUGUGUGGUACGGAAUCUAGGACUUUUACUUUGAGGAAAUUAGAGUGUUCACUGCAGGCAUACGCCUUGAAUACGUUAGCAUGGAAUAAUAAGAUAGGACCUCGGUUCUAUUUUUUCGGUUUCUAGAGCUGAGGUAAUGAUUAACAGGGAUAGUUGGGGGCAUUCGUAUUUAACUGUCAGAGGUGAAAUUCUUGGAUUUGUUAAAGACGAACUACUGCGAAAGCAUUUGCCAAGGAUGUUUUCAUUGAUCAAGAACGAAAGUUAGGGGAUCGAAGACGAUCAGAUACCAU
rnacentral:rRNA from 1 species